rnacentral:rRNA from 1 species
AUUUAGAAUUAGGUAGUUGGCUGGGUAAAGCCAGCCAAGCCCAAGAUUCUUAGUUGGUCUGAGAGGAUGAUCAGCCACACUGGGACUGAACAAAAGCCCAGGCAUUUUGCCAGCAGUGGGGAAUAUUAGACAAUGAGCGAAAGCUUGAUCUAGUAAUAUUGCGUAAAUGAGGAAAGCAAAAAAGAUUUAAAUUAUUUAAAUUGGCUGUAAAGUUUUUCGUUAAUAAAGAUAAUGACAUUAGUUAAAGAAGAAGCCCUGGCUAACUUCGUGCCAGCAGCCGCGGUAAUACGAAGGGGGCAAGCGUUACUCGUCAUGAUUGGGUGUAAAGGGUUCGUAGACUGUAUUUAUUGUUAAAGGUAAGAAAUUUAGAGUAACAUUUAUAUGCGCUUUUAAUACAUUUUUACUAGAGUAUUGCAAAGAAUAAUAGAGCUUCCACAUAGGGUUAAAAUCCAAUUAUUUAGGAAGAAAUGCCUGUGGUGAAAACGAUUAUUUAGGCUAUUACUGACGUUGAGGAACAAAAGCGUAGGUAGCAAACGGGAUUUGAUACCCCGGUAGUCUACGCUGUCACAUAUGUAUACUAUUGCUGAAGAGAAUUUGGCAAACAGCUAACGCCUUAAGUAUACCACCUGGGAAGUACGGACGCAAGUUUAGAACUCAAAGGAAUUGGCGAGGAUUUAAACAAGUGGUGGAACAUGAGGUUUAAUGCGAUUAUACACGCAAAAUCUUACCAGCUUUUGAAUAAAGUUUAUUAUUUUAAUUAUUUAAAAUAUUAUUGUUCAUAUAAGUAUAUGCUACAUAAAAUUUUACAGGUGUUGCAUGGUUGUCGUCAGUUCGUGUUGUGAAAUGUUUGGUUAAGUCCCUUAACGAACGCAACUCUCAUGCUGUGUUACUUAAAUUUUUUUUUUAAGAAAAAAAGUUCUUUCAGCAAAAAUUUGCUAAUGAUAAAUUAGAGGAAGGUGAGAAUGACGUCAAAUACGUAUGGCCCUUAUAAGCUGGGCUACGCUCGUGUUACAAAGGUUUAUUUAAAAAGUUAUACGAUAAAGCAAUUUGGAGUAAAUCUAUAAAAUAUAUUUUUCGGAUUGUUGGCUGUAACUCGCCAACAUGAAGUUGGAAUCACAAGUAAUCGUAGAUCAUUAAGCUACGGUGAAUCAGUACCUGAAUCUUGUACACACUGCCCGUCACAUGCUGGAAGUGAGUU